GCAGCUGGGAAGUGGAAGGACAUUGGACUUCUGAUCGGAAGGUCGUGAGUUCAAAUCCCAGCAAGCUGCC